rnacentral:tRNA from 1 species
CGCGGGGUAGGGCAGUUGGUAGCCCGUGAGGCUCAUAACCUCAAGGUCGCAGGUUCGAAUCCUGUCCCCGCUA